rnacentral:rRNA from 1 species
AACGAACGCUGGCGGCAGGCCUAACACAUGCAAGUCGAACGCCCUAGCAAUAGGGAGUGGCAGACGGGUGAGUAACACGUGGGAACGUGCCCUUCGGUUCGGAAUAACUCAGGGAAACUUGAGCUAAUACCGGAGACGGGCGAGAGCAGAAAGAUUUAUCGCCGAAGGAUCGGCCAGCGUCCGAUUAGCUAGUUGGUGAGGUAAUGGCUCACCAAGGCGACGAUCGGUAGCUGGUCUGAGAGGAUGACCAGCCACACUGGGACUGAGACACGGCCCAGGCUCCUACGGGAGGCAGCAGUGGGGAAUAUUGGACAAUGGGCGCAAGCCUGAUCCAGCCAUGCCGCGUGAGUGAUGAAGGCCCUAGGGUUGUAAAGCUCUUUCGCCAGGGACGAUAAUGACGGUACCUGGAUAAGAAGCCCCGGCUAACUUCGUGCCAGCCGCCGCGGUAA